rnacentral:lncRNA from 1 species
GGCACGGCUGGAGGCAGUGGCUCACCUGCUGCUCUUUGUGUUCUCUCCCUCUCUCUCUCUCUCUCUCUUCCUUUCUCUCUCAGUGGCAAGAUACACACCAGCAGCUCUAGCUUUCCUCUUGACCUACCAGGAACACCAGCGGACAGGACUAGACAGCCUCUCUUCACAAGAGUUCACAGCUGUCCUAGAAGUGAGUCUCUGGCUCACGGGGCCACAUGCUCACCCUGGAUGCCAUCUCUGUGGCCAGAGGGAUGGAAGAAGCCGAUUGCUCAGGCCUCAGUCACAUGCCGUCUCCUGGAGCCGGGAAUAAGGCCAUCCCCACAUGGACCGCACUGUAAGGGAGGAGGGGCUGCCUGGUGCUCGUGCCAAAAGAAAGGAGCCAAAAGUCUGGAGUGGAUGGUGGACCACAGCUGAAAUGGCUCUCAUAGUUAUGAAUUGUUUCCGCAAUAGACUGUUUAAAAAGAAAAAUUUGCCAUCGUUGAAACUG